rfam:Rattus norvegicus chromosome 18, whole genome shotgun sequence.
AAUGCGGAUCCUCAGGCUACAACACAGGACCCGGGCGCUGCUCUGACCCCUCGUGUCUUGUGUUGCAGCCGGAGGGACGCA